rnacentral:rRNA from 1 species
UACGUAGGGUCCGAGCGUUGUCCGGAAUUACUGGGCGUAAAGAGCUCGUAGGUGGUUUGUCGCGUUGUCCGUGAAAACUCACAGCUCAACUGUGGGCGUGCGGGCGAUACGGGCAGACUGGAGUACUGCAGGGGAGACUGGAAUUCCUGGUGUAGCGGUGGAAUGCGCAGAUAUCAGGAGGAACACCGGUGGCGAAGGCGGGUCUCUGGGCAGUAACUGACGCUGAGGAGCGAAAGCGUGGGGAGCGAGCAGG